GACCCGAAAGAUGGUGAACUACGCCUGGUCAGGACUACGUCGAGGGAAACCCUGAUGGAGGUCCGCAGCGAUUCUGACGUGCAAAUAGAUCGUCGGAAGAGAGUAUAGAGGUGAAAGACUAAUCGAACCAUAUUAGCUGG
rnacentral:ncRNA from 1 species